rnacentral:rRNA from 1 species
UGGUUUGAGAGGACGAACAGCCACACUGGGACUGAGACACGGCCCAGACUCCUACGGGAGGCAGCAGUGGGGAAUAUUGGACAAUGGGCGAAAGCCUGAUCCAGCAAUGCCGCGUGUGUGAAGAAGGCCUGCGGGUUGUAAAGCACUUUAGUUGGGGAAGAAGUGCUGCUUUUAAAUAGAGAGCAGUAUUGACGUCACCCAAAGAAUAAGCACCGGCUAACUCUGUGCCAGCAGCCGCGGUAAUACAGAGGGUGCAAGCGUUAAUCGGAAUUACUGGGCGUAAAGCGCACGUAGGUGGUUAUUUAAGUCGGAUGUGAAAUCCCUGGGCUUAACCUGGGCAUUGCAUACGAUACUGGGUAGCUAGAGUAUGGUAGAGGAAAGUGGAAUUUCCGGUGUAGCGGUGAAAUGCGUAGAUAUCGGAAGGAACACCAGUGGCGAAGGCGGCUUUCUGGACUAAUACUGACACUGAGGUGCGAAAGCGUGGGUAGCGAACAGGAUUAGAUACCCUAGUAGUCCACGCCGUAAACGAUGAGAACUAGCUGUUGGAAUGUUAAUACAUUUUAGUAGCGAAGCUAACGCGUUAAGUCUCCG